rnacentral:tRNA from 1 species
GCGGAUGUAGCUCAGGGUAGAGCGCAACCUUGCCAAGGUUGAUGUCGUGGGUUCGAAUCCCAUCAUCCGCUCCA